CCUACGGGUGGCUGCAGUAGGGAAUUUUCGUCAAUGGGCGCAAGCCUGAACGAGCAAUGCCGCGUGAACGAGGAAGGUCUUCGGAUCGUAAAGUUCUGUUGAAGGGGAAAAAGAGCGGAGAGAGGAAAUGCUUUCUGAUUGAUAUUACCCUUCGAGGAAGUCACGGCUAACUACGUGCCAGCAGCCGCGGUAAUACGUAGGUGGCGAGCGUUAUCCGGAAUGAUUGGGCGUAAAGGGUGCGUAGGCGGGCUGUUAAGUCAGCGGUCAAAUGUCGGGGCUCAACCCCGGCCUGCCGUUGAAACUGGCGGCCUCGAGUGGGCGAGAAGGAUGCGGAAUGCGUGGUGUAGCGGUGAAAUGCAUAGAUAUCACGCAGAACUCCGAUUGCGAAGGCAGCAUACCGGCGCCCGACUGACGCUGAGGCACGAAAGCGUGGGUAUCGAACAGGAUUAGAUACCCCUGUAGUC
rnacentral:rRNA from 1 species